UUUUUUACUAUAAAAUAUUACGAGUACAGUGUUUUACUGUUAAUCCCCGAGAUAAGAUUUCAGAUGUCCCACAAAGGAGAGAUAAGCGUACUAGCCAUCUUUAGAGGUCAUGUAUGAUAAUCUUGCCGCUUAAAUCCAAACGAAUACCGCAUUUUUCAGAGCAUAGGAUUAGGCCAGUAUAGCCUAUGUCAGUAUAACAGGCUAGAAUCCGAACUACCAUGCCAAAUAAUUCAAUUCAUUCUUUUGUAAGCGACCUGAGACUGUCCAACCGAGGAGUCAGCUGUUGUGAAGGAAGGGAAAAAUUGUUCACAAACUUGCAGCAAUCAGUCUAGCUAUAUGAAGAAGAAAAGGCACACUAGCCUUGAUCCCAUUUUACUAAUAAUCAAGGAAACUUCCCACACUUCACUAUUGACAUCCUUGCAACAAACGAACAACAAACUAGCACUUCCCACAAAAAAAAGAAAGAAAAACAGUACAAUCAGGAGGAAUUCGACAUAAUAACACUGGAGAUUUCCCACGUUCCUGCGCGCUACUUGGGCGGUGCCGGUGCUGGUGGCGCGAACUGCGGCGGCGGUGCAGGCGGCGCGAACUGCGGCAGAGAUGUGGCCUCGGCCCGGCCACGGUUCCGGCCGAGCACGUAGCAUCCCAGGGCCAGGAUGAGCACCAGAAGAACCGCUGGGAUUGAUAUCACGAGCUCAAACAUGGCCGAAAACCAAGCGAGAGGCCCUCCCCUGCAGUCUUGUUCCCUCUCCUUGUCUACAAUAACUCUGCAACUGCAAGAGAUAUAUCAGGAACUCCUAAGCAGCGAACCGCAGUGUCACGCACACGGCGUGCAGGAAGGAAACGACGAGCACUUAACCUGGAUAGGACGGGCGAGUAGUGAACUAGUGAUGCAACUUCCGGGGUUAGCUCAGCUCAGGACGCCAUUUCAAGCGGUGCCGUGGCCUGUGGCGUCGUGUCAGGCGAGUAUUGCUUCAGGAGUCAGGACGAGCGGCCAAGGUUGACGCUUCCCAACGAACUGACGUAUAAGCCUGGACUUCUGGAUUGCUUUAGCUGAUGGUAUGGUUAAUUUUGUGACUACUGACUAGUGAUCGAGAACGCUGGGAGCCGGCCUGAGACGAUGAGGCGUGACCGCGUGCGAUGGUCGUUAACCGUUUCACAAGGUCACGGAGAUCUGACUUUCAAUCAUUUCGAAUUCUACGAAUCGAGAGGACUCCAGAAGAGGCUAGGAUUACCGCUUUGAGCCGAAGGAACCUCCGGGAAGGAAAACGACGUUGAAACCGCCAGGCGAUCGAUUGAUUUGACGUCUAACCAAAACAGCUCGUCUGUUUCCACUUCAGUCAUAUUUUGCUUCAGAAAGAUGAUUUGAACUUCAUCAUAUUCGUAAAGUGCCCAGAGCGAAUCUCAAAGCAAGAUGAACGAUGAGAUAACCCGACACAUGUACCUGUGGAUUUACUUGUUUGCUUACCGUUUCAGGCAGGGUACCCACGGAGGCUUCCAACGAUCUUCUCUGUUUAUAACCCAAUAAAAAAAAG
rnacentral:lncRNA from 1 species